CUCAAGGUUAAUAUAACUCGUGGACAACACUGUUCGGUCAACGAUGGUGAAAGGCAGCCUCGUGUAGAGGUUCCUAAGGCAAAGGGUGGCUACUUUGAAUAAUCCCAAUAUAAAAUAUAUUUUGAUUUGUCUAGAACUUUUUUGGUUACUACAUGAUUCCAUGUGUGUUAUUUCAUAGCAUUGAUGUCUUUACUAUUAUUCUACAAUGUAGAAGAGUAAAAAAUUAAGAAAAACCCUUGAAUGAGUAGGUGUUUCCAAGCUUUUGACUGGUACUGUAUAUACAAUACCUUUGUUGUUCUGUCCUUUUAAACAUGUCUGAAGUAGGAUAAAUAAUGUAUUUAACAUAUGACACAGAAAACACAGACUUUGAUUGGCAUCUGAACCAGGAUGACUCAUGUUUGACUCACACACACCGUGGGACUGAGGAUGCUCUGAAAUACAUGUUGGUGGACUCCCUGUCAGGAUGACCCAAUACACCCAACGAGAUGGACCUGAUGGUUAGAGGUCUUCAGAAGAAAAAGCAGGAAGAUGAGCGGAAAAGCCAAACUUGAGUGUAUGCAACAAAACCCUUUUCAGCUAUGGUCCAAGCGUAACCAGAUUUAAGCAUUUCUGACAGUGAAGAGACAUUUACACAUUUAUCCCUCUUAUAGAUCAAGAUGUUAAGUCAUCAAUAUGCCAGAUUAAGACUACAGAUAAAACAGGAUUAGUUGUGAUAAUCCAGGAGCGUAAUUUAGCCCUGCCCGGUGCCUCAGGCUUUAGACCGUGUAUCUGCUGUUUGUUAACUAGAGAUGCUUUGGACCAUGGCCAGAUAAUUAAUCACUGAGUGACUGCAGUGAUUCUUACUAUACCACUACUACUGUUCUAGUCAGUCAAAAGCUGUAAACCUGCAGCUUCAGGAGUAGACACAACAGCAUUGAAAAACAGCAUUGAUUCAUUAUGAUUGUCAUCCACUGUCAUUAUUUACAAAGUCAACAUUGUUUUAUGUUUUUUAUCAAAUCAUUAGUUGCUGUAAUCUGAUUGUAAGAAGCCUCAGAAAGUUAUUGGAUGAUUUAUAUUUAGGACUACUACAUCAUAGAAAAUAGUUUAUGGUUUUGGACAAGAGCCCAAAGAUUUCCAUAGAAAAUUACAGUGUUGUUUAUUGCUUAUGUAUCAAUACAUGUUUUAUUUUUCAUGUUGAA